rnacentral:rRNA from 1 species
AGUCGAGCGAUGAGAUCCCUUCGGGGAAGGAUUAGCGGCGAACGGGUGAGGAACACGUGAGGAAUCUGCCUUCAACACUGGGAUAACUCCGGGAAACCGGGGCUAAUACCGGAUACGAGACCUGCAGGCAUCUGCGGGUCUGGAAAGUUUUUCGGUUGAAGAUGACCUCGCGGCCUAUCAGCUUGUUGGUGAGGUAAUGGCUCACCAAGGCGACGACGGGCAGCCGGCCUGAGAGGGCGACCGGCCACACUGGGACUGAGACACGGCCCAGACUCCUACGGGAGGCAGCAGUGGGGAAUAUUGGGCAAUGGAGGGAACUCUGACCCAGCGACGCCGCGUGCGGGAUGAAGGCCUUCGGGUUGUAAACCGCUUUCAGCAAGGAAGAAGCGAAAGUGACGGUACUUGCAGAAGAAGCACCGGCUAACUAUGUGCCAGCAGCCGCGGUAAUACAUAGGGUGCAAGCGUUGUCCGGAAUUAUUGGGCGUAAAGAGCUCGUAGGUGGUUCGUCACGUCGGAUGUGAAAAUCUGGGGCUUAACCCCAGACCUGCAUUCGAUACGGGCGAGCUAGAGUGUGGUAGGGGAGACUGGAAUUCCUGGUGUAGCGGUGGAAUGCGCAGAUAUCAGGAGGAACACCAAUGGCGAAGGCAGGUCUCUGGGCCAUUACUGACACUGAGGAGCGAAAGCGUGGGGAGCGAACAGGAUUAGAUACCCUGGUAGUCCACGCCGUAAACGGUGGGCACUAGUUGUGGGAACCUUCCACGGUUUCUGCGACGCAGCUAACGCAUUAAGUGCCCCGCCUGGGGAGUACGAUCGCAAGAUUAAAACUCAAAGGAAUUGAC